UACGUAGGGUGCGAGCGUUGUCCGGAAUUAUUGGGGCGUAAAGGGCUCGUAGGCGGUCUGUUGCGUCGGGGAGUGAAAACUCAGGGCUUAACCCUGAGCCUGCUUCCGAUACGGGGCAGACUAGAGGUAUGCAGGGGGAGACUGGAAUUCCUGGUGUAGCGGUGGAAUGCGCAGAUAUCAGGAGGAACACCAAAGGCGAAGGCAGCUCGCUGGGACGGUACUGACGCUGAGGUGCGAAAGCGUGGGGGAGCGAACAGG
rnacentral:rRNA from 1 species